rnacentral:rRNA from 1 species
UACGUAGGGUGCGAGCGUUAAUCGGAAUUACUGGGCGUAAAGCGUGCGCAGGCGGUUUGCUAAGACCGAUGUGAAAUCCCCGGGCUUAACCUGGGAACUGCAUUGGUGACUGGCAGGCUAGAGUAUGGCAGAGGGGGUAGAAUUCCACGUGUAGCAGUGAAAUGCGUAGAGAUGUGGAGGAAUACCGAUGGCGAAGGCAGCCCCCUGGGCCAAUACUGACGCUCAUGCA